rnacentral:rRNA from 1 species
UGGGUAAUCUACCCUCGGUUCUGGGCUAGCCCGGGGAAACCCGGAUUAAUACCAGAUAGCCUCUUGAGCCUUCGGGUUCUCGAGAAAAGGUAGCUUCGGCCUCCGACUGAGGAUGAGCCCGCGGCGGAUUAGCUUGUUGGCGGGGUAACGGCCCACCAAGGCUACGAUCCGUAGCUGGUCUGAGAGGACGAUCAGCCACACUGGGACUGAGACACGGCCCAGACUCCUACGGGAGGCAG